CAAAAUCCACUGGGACUGGAGUUUGAGGAACUCUUCUGGGUCUCUCUCACUGGAACUUCAAUUAAAAAAAAAGUGUACUCAACCACCAAAGUCUUAGGGAACAUCGCAAUAAAUAUCAGAAACUUGAUAACUAAGUCACAUGGCAGGUUUUAUUUUAAGUGUUGAUGCUUUAGUCAAUCUAGGCAUGAUUACUGAAUCUGCCUCACUCUUCGGAGGUCUACAGAAUGAUUGCUGCAAUCCCAGUUGUGGCCCUCUCUGUGGGACUGGAGGUAACUAAGUACCAUCUUCAACCUGAACCCAGUGAUGGCUCUGGAAGAAAGCUGAAUUGGAAAGUCCUGGACUCAUGCCCUAGGAGCAUGCAGUGAGAAGAAACAGAAGAACUGAAAUCUCAGCAGAAGAAUUAAAAACAAAGCAAUCAAUCUCUGCACUGUCUUUUACCACUUCUGUAGAGCUUAAAGAUUUUUAUCCGACUAAAACUUUGAGAUAUUUGAAAAGUUUAUUUCAACCAAGGUCUGCAAAGUUUGCCUCAUCAUAAAUAGGUUUCUUACAUUUCCCUAUCCCCUUGAAUAACUAAAAAUAUAUUUUAACAGUGUAUCUCAAGUUUUUCUUCUUUCAUUGUGCACAAUCAGUCAUUGUUGAGGGACCUGUACUUUUGUGGUAACACAUGGGGUGUUAUUUGGAAUAAAAUACAAAGAGAAUAUAAUCAAGAAACAAUCUUGUUUCUUGAUUAUCUUGUUUCUUGAUAUAUUAUGAGAAACUAAUAUGUGUAUAAGAGAUAUACACAUAUUAGUUGCUUAAGAGAAUGUAGUUUUAUCUACCCCUCACCCCAACCCCAAAAAUAGCAACAUGGAAUCCAAUUCUGGAUACUUGCCUUUGCUCAACAUUUUGUAUUUAUUUUUAAGGACAAAAUAAAAUUUACUUGCAGCCUUGAUUUUUAUCUUUAUUUUUUUUGAGGAGUACACACUGAUUAAAACACUGUCCUAAGUCCUGACAUACAUUAUACAAUUUAUCUCCCUC
rnacentral:lncRNA from 1 species